rnacentral:rRNA from 1 species
GACGAACGCUGGCGGCGUGCUUAACACAUGCAAGUCGAGCGAGAAACCUUCGGGUUUCUAGCGGCGGACGGGUGAGUAACACGUGGGUAACCUGCCUCAAAGAGGGGGAUAGCCUUCCGAAAGGAUGAUUAAUACCGCAUAAUAUUACAGUUUCGCAUGAAGCAGUAAUUAAAGGAGUAAUCCGCUUUGAGAUGGACCCGCGGCGCAUUAGCUAGUUGGAGAGGUAACGGCUCACCAAGGCAACGAUGCGUAGCCGACCUGAGAGGGUGAUCGGCCACAUUGGAACUGAGACGCGGUCCAGACUCGUACGGGAGGCAGCAGUGGGGAAUAUUGCACAAUGGGCGAAAGCCUGAUGCAGCAGCGCCGCGUGAGUGAUGAAGGUCUUCGGAUUGUAAAGCUCUGUCUUUUGGGACGAUAAUGACGGUACCAAAGGAGGAAGCCACGGCUAACUACGUGCCAGCCGCCGCAGUAA